rnacentral:rRNA from 1 species
GAUGAACGCUGGCGGCGUGCCUAAUACAUGCAAGUCGAGCGAACGGACGAGAAGCUUGCUUCUCUGAUGUUAGCGGCGGACGGGUGAGUAACACGUGGAUAACCUACCUAUAAGACUGGGAUAACUUCGGGAAACCGGAGCUAAUACCGGAUGAUAUUUUGAACCGCAUGGUUCAAAAGUGAAAGACGGUCUUGCUGUCACUUAUAGAUGGAUCCGUGCUGCAUUAGCUAGUUGGUAAGGUAACGGCUUACCAAGGCAACGAUGCAUAGCCGACCUGAGAGGGUGAUCGGCCACACUGGAACUGAGACACGGUCCAGACUCCUACGGGAGGCAGCAGUAGGGAAUCUUCCGCAAAGGGCGAAAGCCUGACGGAGCAACGCCGCGUGAGUGAUGAAGGUCUUCGGAUCGUAAAACUCUGUUAUUAGGGAAGAACAUAUGUGUAAGUAACUGCGCACAUCUUGACGGUACCUAAUCAGAAAGCCACGGCUAACUACGUG